UUGAUUGAUUUGUAUUCAAUACUCGACGCAAAGAUGCAGAGUUGGUUGGUCCUCUGGGGGACCCCCGGUCGCGGACGGCCGGGUCGCCCCCCGAGGCAACAGAUAGUAAUCGACAAAGGGUUGGAGGUCGGGCGCGAGGGCCCUCACUCGGUAAUGAUCCCUCCGCAGGUUCACCUACGGAGA
rnacentral:misc_RNA from 1 species